rnacentral:rRNA from 1 species
UACGUAGGGUGCGAGCGUUAAUCGGAUUUACUGGGCGUAAAGCAUGCGCAGGCGGCGGUUCAAGUCAGAUGUGAAAUCCCCGAGCUUAACUUGGGAAUUGCGUUUGAAACUAGAUCGCUAGAGUACGGCAGAGGGGGGUAGAAUUCCACGUGUAGCAGUGAAAUGCGUAGAUAUGUGGAGGAACACCGAUGGCGAAGGCAGCCCCCUGGGCCUGUACUGACGCUCAUGCAUGAAAGCGUGGGGAGCAAACAGG